rnacentral:rRNA from 1 species
GAGUUUGAUCCUGGCUCAGAUUGAACGCUGGCGGCAUGCCUUACACAUGCAAGUCGAACGGCAGGCACGGGAGCUUGCUCCUGGUGGCGAGUGGCGAACGGGUGAGUAAUGCAUCGGAACGUAUCCUGGAGUGGGGGAUAACGUAGCGAAAGUUACGCUAAUACCGCAUAUUCUGUGAGCAGGAAAGCGGGGGACCUUCGGGCCUCGCGCUCUUGGAGCGGCCGAUGUCGGAUUAGCUAGUUGGUGAGGUAAAGGCUCACCAAGGCGACGAUCCGUAGCAGGUCUGAGAGGAUGAUCUGCCACACUGGAACUGAGACACGGUCCAGACUCCUACGGGAGGCAGCAGUGGGGAAUUUUGGACAAUGGGGGCAACCCUGAUCCAGCCAUGCCGCGUGAGUGAAGAAGGCCU